CUGGGAGGACCAUCUCCUAAGGCUAAAUACUCUCUAGUGACCGAUAGUGAACCAGUACCGUGAGGGAAAGGUGAAAAGCACCCCGGAAGGGGAGUGAAAUAGAACCUGAAACCGUGUGCUUACAAGUAGUCAGAGCCCGUUAAUGGGUGAUGGCGUGCCUUUUGUAGAAUGAACCGGCGAGUUACGAUUUGAUGCAAGGUUAAGCAGUAAAUGUGGAGCCGUAGCGAAAGCGAGUCUGAAUAGGGCGUUUAGUAUUUGGUCGUAGACCCGAAACCAGGUGAUCUACCCUUGGUCAGGUUGAAGUUCAGGUAACACUGAAUGGAGGACCGAACCGACUUACGUUGAAAAGUGAGCGGAUGAACUGAGGGUAGCGGAGAAAUUCCAAUCGAACCUGGAGAUAGCUGGUUCUCUCCGAAAUAGCUUUAGGGCUAGCCUCAAGUGAUGAUUAUUGGAGGUAGAGCACUGUUUGGACGAGGGGCCCCUCUCGGGUUACCGAAUUCAGACAAACUCCGAAUGCCAAUUAAUUUAACUUGGGAGUCAGAACAUGGGUGAUAAGGUCCGUGUUCGAAAGGGAAACAGCCCAGACCACCAGCUAAGGUCCCAAAAUAUAUGUUAAGUGGAAAAGGAUGUGGCGUUGCCCAGACAACUAGGAUGUUGGCUUAGAAGCAGCCAUCAUUUAAAGAGUGCGUAAUAGCUCACUAGUCGAGUGACACUGCGCCGAAAAUGUACCGGGGCUAAACAUAUUACCGAAGCUGUGGAUUGUCCUUUGGACAAUGGUAGGAGAGCGUUCUAAGGGCGUUGAAGCAUGAUCGUAAGGACAUGUGGAGCGCUUAGAAGUGAGAAUGCCGGUGUGAGUAGCGAAAGACGGGUGAGAAUCCCGUCCACCGAUUGACUAAGGUUUCCAGAGGAAGGCUCGUCCGCUCUGGGUUAGUCGGGUCCUAAGCUGAGGCCGACAGGCGUAGGCGAUGGAUAACAGGUUGAUAUUCCUGUACCACCUAUAAUCGUUUUAAUCGAUGGGGGGACGCAGUAGGAUAGGCGAAGCGUGCGAUUGGAUUGCACGUCUAAGCAGUAAGGCUGAGUAUUAGGCAAAUCCUGAUG
rnacentral:rRNA from 1 species